UCCAUCUGGUAUUUCAUGACUGGUCAGUUGUUUCCAGGGCCAAUGUCCUUACUAAUCAGUUAUGUUUCAUUUUUAGUUUCACUUUUUCACUCCAUAAUUUAUUAAUGUUCAACUAUUUUAGGUUUGUUUCAUACCCUUUUAAAAGAAGCUCUGAUUGAAGUAGUAUGGCACUUCAGCCAUCAUCCGUCGCAUCUACAUAGACAACUCGUGCUCUAUAACUGCCACUGUUGCUGUCGGGAGAAUGAGAAAAGUGACAGAUAAAAACUUGGAAUACUCAGCUAAAAUUAUCUUGAUGUUUUAUUUUAUUAAAAUAAAACAACUCAUUCCUGUCACAAUUUUUAUCCCAACUAUGCAUUUACAUUUUGUUCUUCAGGACUGAGGUUUCCUUACCUAUGUACUGAACUUGAUAACGUACACCGAAAAAAAAUGUAAGAAUAAACUGAAAAAAAAAAAAGAAGAAGAAAGACAACUUGGAAGACAUGCAGAGAAAUAAAGAGAUAGAUCGUCAUACUAAUAUAUACACGAGAGCAAGGGAGAGUGUACCACCAUGUUGAUCCAUAUGGGUGAAAUGUCACACCUGAGCAUUUAGUCAGCGGAACCACAGAACGAGAGAAAAUUAAAUCAUCCCACGUGCACGUGCUCUGUGAGAAGAUUAAAAGAAGGCUCUUGUACUCUCUUUCCUGUUGGCAGUAGAUUAAAAAACUUAAAGGCC